rnacentral:SRP_RNA from 1 species
UGGUGGGCUAGGCCGGGGGGUUCGGCGUCCCCUGUAACCCGAAACCGUCGAUAUGCGGGGGCCGAAGCCAAGGGAAGGUUCGUCUGUCCGUAGAGGCGUUUCAGCAAACCUCGCAGAGUCCUCGUCCUGAAGGACCGACGGUUACUGCGGGCUCUCCGGAGGGAGGGUUUGCAGUAUUUAUCGGGGGCAUCGGCUGAGGCCCGGAAGGGAGCAAGCCUACCCCGAACGCUCGGUGCUUUCAGGGUUACGGGGAGGAGAGGUUUGCUGGAAAACGCCCUGCGGAACAGACGGAUCGACCCGAGGCGUGCCCACCA